rnacentral:tRNA from 1 species
UCCCUUGUAGCUCAGUUGGUAAAGAAUUUGUCUGCAAGGCAGGAGACCCAGGUUCGAUUCAUGGAAAGGGAA